UAUUUUUAAUCCAUUAUUAAGUAGUCAUAAAACAAGUGUAUUUUCAGAUAUUCUACACAGGCAGUGAUGUAUGUGUGCUUGCUGCCAUUGUUCUUCACAAAAUGUGAUAAUAAUGUCGUCUGUUAGCAUACAAACAAAGUUUGACUCCACAGAAACAGCUGCAGGUGUUUAUAACCACAGUAUGAUUAAGUCUGCCAGAAACACACUAUUUGACCUAUACAGGUAGAAGUUCCUUGUGAUUAGGAGUUCUUUUAUGCAACAUUUUUGCACUGAGUCUCAGCCAGUGUGCAUGUAGAAAUAGUCCUGGCGG
rfam:Gallus gallus isolate RJF #256 breed Red Jungle fowl, inbred line TCD001 chromosome Z, whole genome shotgun sequence.